rnacentral:rRNA from 1 species
CGCAGCCUACCAUGCAGUCGAGCGGUAGAGAGAAGCUUGCUUCUCUUGAGAGCGGCGGACGGGUGAGUAAUGCCUAGGAAUCUGCCUGGUAGUGGGGGAUAACGUUCGGAAACGGACGCUAAUACCGCAUACGUCCUACGGGAGAAAGCAGGGGACCUUCGGGCCUUGCGCUAUCAGAUGAGCCUAGGUCGGAUUAGCUAGUUGGUGGGGUAAUGGCUCACCAAGGCGACGAUCCGUAACUGGUCUGAGAGGAUGAUCAGUCACACUGGAACUGAGACACGGUCCAGACUCCUACGGGAGGCAGCAGUGGGGAAUAUUGGACAAUGGGCGAAAGCCUGAUCCAGCCAUGCCGCGUGUGUGAAGAAGGUCUUCGGAUUGUAAAGCACUUUAAGUUGGGAGGAAGGGUUGUAGAUUAAUACUCUGCAAUUUUGACGUUACCGACAGAAUAACCACCGGCUAACUCUGUGCCAGCAGCCGCGGUAAUUCAUAA